GUAGUGAUGAUCUUCACAUUAAUGAUCAUGGAUGAUAUUAAUACAACCCUCUAAGAAGUACUGAACUG